CCAGGACGCGAGCUAAGUCUGCCCGGCCGGCGCGCGCCGCUUCCGCUUUGGUGGGAAGGACCUCCCUUCCCCCUUAUAGAAACACUUUCUCCAGGCCGGGCCGGGCUUGGUAAACCUCAGCCGUGCCUGGGUAGAGGACGCCGGGCUGGGCCGAGCGGGGGUGGAAUGAGGGCGUCUAGAACAGAGAAAACUAAGUAGGAUGGGGUCGUCCCCCCAGUAAUCUGGAAAACAGUUACAGCAACAGGCUCCUCUCAUCAGACGGCAGUGCUGGUCGUUUCCUCACUGGUUUGCGGGGAAGGCUGGGCAGAAAAAGGAUGCAACCUUGUUCUCAACCACUUGCUAUCUCGGUGAGGAUGAGGAAAAGCAAACAGCCCAUCCAGGCCCCUGCAGAGCCUCAGAGCUUCAAUAUCAUUCCCAUUAGUCCUUAAUUAAACACCUAUUUGCCCUUGCCUAAAUACCGUAUAACCCUCACAGCCUGCAUUGUAGUGACUGCCCCAGAAAUGUAGGUUCUCACCUGGGUUCUGCAGGGAAAUACGAAGGAAUCCCUAGGUACAGUCUCCGCCUACUUCAUUAAAAUUUCUUUUGUUGCGAGUAUACAAAGGAUGCAGCUUAGAGUAUCAUAUUAGUCCAAUAAAGGAACAUAAAAAGUAAGGCAAGUUAGGGUGCUCAGAUUGGCUAGGAUUAAGAGUUCUUUUCUGAAGGAGGUUUAUUUAAAUACGGAAUUUGAAGGGCAGAGAGAGCUUGAGUAGGGUCCAGGCAGGGUAAAGGCCACAAGGAGAUUCAGAUAGGAAAGAGCAAAUUAUCUGCGUGGGACCGUGAGCAGAUCACCGUGGUACGUUGGGAAGUGGGAGAAAUUAAUGGAGGAGGUUUCUUAUGGAGGAGAGCAGAAUAAGGAUAUGGAUGUGACAAGACAUAAGAUAAAGAAGUCAUUUUGGGUUCUUGAGCAUAGAGGUAGUUUGAUGAAAAGAGUGCCCAAGGACAGCUAUUACUGGAACCUAAAAGAUGUCUUGAUGGGUACCCCCACCAGCUUUCUCAUUUUUUUGCUUAAAAAAUAUUUUAUUCUUUUCUUUUCUCUGAGAUGGAGUCUCACUCUGUCCCAGGUUGGACGGAGUGCAGUGGCACAAUCUCUGCUCACUGCAACCUCCACCUCCUGAUUUCAGGUGAUUCUCCUGCCUCAGCCUCCCAAGUAGCUGGUAUUAUAAGAGUGCACCACCACACCUGGCUAAUUUUUGUAUUUUUAGUAGAGACGGAGGCUUCACCAUGUUGGCCAGGCUGGUCUCGAACUCCUGACCUCAGGUGAUUUGCCCACCUCGGCCUCCCAAAGUGCUAGGAUUAUAGAUGUGAGCCACCAUGCCCGGCCCUUAAAUUAUUCUUAACGUGCAAUAAAAUGCACACAUCUUAGGUGCUUUGUUUGGUGAAUUUCAAAAUAUACACCUAUGUAAUUAACACCCAAAACAAGAUACUGAACCACCACCCUAUAAAGUUCCCUCAUGCCCCUUUAUAGUUGAUCACCCCACACCCACCACCACCCUCCCCUGGCAACUUCCUGAAUUAUAGCACCAUAGAUUUGUCUGCAUUUGUAUUUCACAUAUAUGGAGCUUUACAGUAUGUACUUGUGUCUGUAUCCUUUAGCUUAGUAAUGUUUUUGAGAUCCAUCCAUGUGUAUCAGUAAUCUGUUCUUUUUUAUUGCUGAGUAUUAUUCCAUUGCAUGAAUAUAUCACAAUGUGUUUAUCCAUUCUUCAAUUGAUGGAUAUUUGGGUAUUUCCAGUUGGGGUUAUGAUGAAUAUGGCUGCUAUUAACAUUCUGGUGCAAAUAUUUUCAUAGACAUGUUUUCAUUUCUCCUUUUCACCUUAUUUCUUGAUGAUAGUGGCAUCUUCGGAAGCCUACAGCAUUGUGAAUUCUUAUUCAAUCAUCUAACAUUGAAUAGGGAUCAGUGGGCUAGUUCUGGGAUUACAACAAAAAGUAGACAUGGUCCUUUCCUCAAAGGGCUUGAA
ensembl:lncRNA BCDIN3D-AS1 BCDIN3D antisense RNA 1